rnacentral:rRNA from 1 species
UGAGGAAUAUUGGGCAAUGGGGGCAACCCUGACCCAGCCAUGCCGCGUGAGUGAAGAAGGUUUUCGAAUUGUAAAGCUCUUUCGGAUGUGACGAUGAUGACGGUAGCAUCUAAAGAAGCCCCGGCAAACUUCGUGCCAGCAGCCGCGGUAAUACGAAGGGGGCGAGCGUUGUUCGGAAUUACUGGGCGUAAAGGGUGUGUAGGUGGACGUGUAAGAUAGCGGUGAAAUGCCGGAGCUCAACUUCGGAAUUGCCAUUAUAACUAUGCGUCUAGAAUUAUAGAGAGGAUAGCGGAAUACCCAGUGUAGAGGUGAAAUUCGUAGAUAUUGGGUAGAACACCAGUGGCGAAGGCGGCUAUCUGGCUAUAUAUUGACACUGAGGCUCGAAAGCGUGGGGAGCAAACAGGAUUAGAUACCC